rnacentral:lncRNA from 1 species
CCCAAAAUACUUGAUCUUCAAUAUCCUGGAAAUUGCACUAAAAAAAAGAAAAGAAAAUUCUGUAAAUUGCCAGAGGGCGGCUGAAGCUAUCUCGUGGUUUCGCAUAGAGAUGAAUCCCAUCAAGUGUUUUCUUCCAACAAUGCUCUUUUUCUCAGUUUAGCUGUAGAAAACUGACUCAAUGCUAGAGAUCUGACAUUAACUCCGACGCCAUCCAGUCGCCAGAAGUGUAGGUUCCAAGACAUAAGACAAUUUUACCCCGGUACUCAUGCUACAGAUACUAUUAAGAAGUAACCAGUCCCCAUCUGAAUGUACAUCAUAUAAAGCUUUUGAGUUAAAGACUUCUAGAAAUUAAAUAAAUAAUGGAGCUUCAAUUCACAUUUCACCAUUCAAACACAUGCACUCCCUCCCACCAUAGCCGAACAUGGAAAUUAGCAUGUGUACAAAUGCCUAAACGAGACAACUCAACUAAGAAAAAAGAAACAGAUCAAUGGUAGGAUUUUAUGUGCAGCUAUAUCAGUUUUAAAUAUUGCAUAUACAUGGACUGUACAUUUUUCCAUCAAAAUUUUCACUUUACAAACUAUGCCUGGUCAGAAGAGGAGCCAAAAGACCAUCCCAGCCAAGCCUAUCAAAUGAAUGAAAAGGCUAUGCUAGCAAGUUGCUCGACUUGCUCAGCAGUGGCUGCCAGCCAUGUUUAUGCUGCAGCUUCGCUCUGUUCUAUUACAACACGAUCAUGAGCAAAUUGAGUCACCAAUGAGAAUUUGUUUUGCUAGCUUUCAUAAAACAUUGUCACCUCAUUUCCUCUCUAAGCUUUAACCAGCCCCAAUACACCUGGGCUUACACAAAGUAGCUAGUUUGUCCACAAUGGACUCAUGCAGCAAGUCUUACUCAGCUGAAUGAUUUAACAUUAUCCAAGAGCAAAAUUGCCAUGUCCACUUUUCUUCCAACAAGGUGGGAGCACAGUGAGAAGACAUUGGCAGUGGCUGCCAGCCAUGGUUAUGCUGCAGCUUCACUCUGUUCUAUUAUAACACAAUCAUCAGCAAACUGAGUCACCAAUGAGAAUUUGUUUUGCUAGGUUUCAUUUUCACAUCAUUUCCUCUCUAAGCGUGAACCAGCCCCCGAUACCUGGGCUGGUACCAAGUAAAUAGCUUGUCCACAAUGGACUCAUGCAGCGAUUCUUGCUCAACUGAAUGAUUAACAUUAUCCAAGAGCAAAAUUGUCCUGCCUACUUUUCUUCCAACAAUGUGGGAGCACAGUGAGAAGACAUUGGCAGAAGGGAGAGUACAUUGGCUUAGAUCUUUGGAUUGGCAAGCCCAUGGACCUUGACCAUUUCUGUACAUUAACCUUGCCCCAAAUCCUACUCAAGAUUAUCUUCAGAUCCAUUAAUUGUGCGUCCAAGCAUGCCCAAGGUUCAAAGCAUUGCUGUCAGUCAUCUUUAGACUGCAGCGCAGAUGCCAGAGGAUGUGUUGGUUCUAUUCUGCCAUUCUCCAUCUCAGCAUUCUCAAAUAAUUCAAGAAGCAGAUCCCGUAUUCGCUUUCUCAAGCCAGAAGCAUCUUCAGGUUGAAACCACUUGCGACCAAACUAUAAAACAAAGGGUCAGUAAAUGAAAUGAUUGAAGAAACAUAACACUAAAAUUGAAAAGCUCUAUGAAUUGUGGUUGCCUAACCAUGGCUAGAUCUUUCUUUCUUAGCCUUUCAGGAGCCUCUUCAAUAAAUCGCUCCAUGAAGUAAAGUACAAAUAGGCCACAAUCAUACUCAUUGUUCUGCUGAGGAACCUGGUGGGAGAAGGCAGGUACUAUCACUUGUAAGUAGUGUAUCACCAGGGUAGUAAAUUUCAUCACUGCUUUAGAGAAAAGCAUGAUGAAAUGUGAUUGCAUUUGCACUUCUAAUCACCUAUGGAAGGAGGAAAAACUUUACAAAACUGAUGAGAUUAGGUAACUUUCAAUUUCACAAGCAUGCUCACAGUCAGACUACAGUACACAACCAAGUACAAAGAAAUAUAAUGUCGAUUAGCUUAUGGAUAAAUGUAUCAAUUAACCACACCAUAACCUGAUAAUCAAACCAUUCUAGCAGUAAAAGUAUUCCAACUUUUUCAUAUGGUUAAUGAUAUGUAGCCUUAUUUUGUCCAUGACCGGGUAGCUCUGCCUAAGUUGGCCAAAGGCUCAGAGGAAAAAGCAUAUAGAGUUCAUAUACAAUUAACAGCAGGUCACAAGUGGCCAAGCAUAAAAUGAAAGCCAACCCUGGACAGAUUGUAUAUGGCUCUUUUGUUACCGUGUGGUAGCUUGUAUGUCUCGUAUGGACAACAAAAGCUUUUCAGAUGCAGGUGGCAGCACAUAUCAGUACCUAGUCCUCCAGAUAUCCAACAGAGAGUUGCAAAAUUGCAUCAAAAUGUGCAUGUGUCAUGUAACACUUGUAUGCUUAGGCCAGUUGAAAUAGGCAGGGAAGGAGAGCUGAUUGCAGAAAAGAUGAGAACUGUUAAAUUAAGGAGGAACCACAAUGGACAAAACAGGGUUCUAGCCUUCAAGGUAAUGGUAAAUAUUUACAUACUGACAUGCAAGCACUGCAGAUAUUUGAGCUAGCUAAAGUUCGUAAUCGUGGCCCUAAGCAAUGCUGCAAGGUUAAGCCCAAAUGCGAUAUGAUUAAUUUCGACCAGCCAUGGCACUUUCACAUUUAAAAUCUUGGACCUGAAAUUAUAUGUUAAAGUUAACUUGUAGCUGCUGAUGCAAAAACUUUUUGCCUUCUCCACAUUCUCUCUGGUCAAGAAAGAUCUGAUGGCUUAUUUUUUUCUCCCCUCCUAUCUAAAUCAAUGUAUAAUAUUUACAAUCUUGUCAACUUAUCACAGCUCAUCAAUAUAAGGUGUUCAGGGACCCUAUAAGGGCAAUGCCACUUCUCAGGAUAGAACCAAAAACAAUCAGCUCUGCUAUAACUUUGAGAAAGGACAUCCAUCUUAUAGCAACCUUGUAAAAUACAUUCAGCCUAGUAUUUGGAAGCAACUGCUGAAGCUAUUUUCCCACCUAGAUGAUGAUUUAUGUGUUCCCUCAAAAAGUAAAUUCGUUGACAAAUCAUUGUCAGAAAGCAGCUCAGAUCAUUUUAUAGUGGCUACUGAUAAAUACAUGAAUGGAUUAGUGUAGAGACUUACAUCAAUUUUUUUCUUCUCAAUCCUUCGGGGAAGAUGUUUCCAUAUCCUUUCUGAAAUUGGAACAUCUGGAGGAGGAGCAUUUUGAUUUAUGUAGUUCCAUUCUUCUUUUAGAUAUCUACAAUAAAAAAAAAAAAAUGAUUCCCAACUAAGGUUUGUUUAGAAGGUUUGAAAACAUUCACUUUACUGUAAACAAGAAAAAAGGAUAUAAUACAUUAUGAAUAUAAAAACAAGAACGUGAAAACAUGUAGUUGACAGCAUAAACUGAUCAAACUUAAGAAAAUGUUUUCCUCUAUAGCAUGUUUUCUGAACAUAGAAUAGCACAGCAAUGACAAACAUGUCAAGCACGGUAGUCCCCAUGGAUAUAGUUUCAUUCAACUACGUCAAUAAAUUAAGAAUCUUGUGUAUUACAAUAAUAUGAAAAGAAGACCUCCAUUCUGAGACAUCAAGAAAAUGCUAGAUGUUCUUCAUAUAUUACCGGCAAAGUGCACAUGCAUGAUGCACAAGACAUAAAAAUAAUACUAUUACUAGUGGUGCAUUGCAUAGAAUUUGGCAUGCAUAUACAAAGUUUGUGGGCAUGGUUCGCCGAACCAGCUCAAACUAGGCAGUUCGGGGCACGCCACUCCAGACCAGCGGUUAACCCGUGUGGUUUGGAAGUCUGAUUCAGAACGCCGGCAAAAACGAAGCAAGGGGGAAGGAAAGAGAGAGAGAGAGAGAGAGAGAGAGAGGAAGGAGGAGGAGGACGGACGACGACGAGGNNNNNNNNNNNNNNNNNNNNAGAGAGAGAGAGGAAGGGAAGGAGAGGCGAAGGCCAGCGAUGGCUUGCCGAGGCCACCGAAGGGCCACCAAGACUCCAGAUCUCCGCAGUCCUCCGUAAGAAAAAAUGAGAAACUGGGAAGAGAGAGAGAUAUAGAGAGAAGAGGAGAGAAGAAGGAAGGGAAGGCAACAGGAAGGCCGUCCGAUGGCCACAAUGAAGAGAGAGAGAUAUAGAGAGAAGAGGAGAGAAGAGGGAAGGGAAGGCAACGGGAAGGCCGUCGGUGGCAAUUGUGGCCACCGGACAGCCCAAAACCCCCCAUGGCUGCUGCAAGUUCGAAACAGAGGUUCUCGGAUUUUUUUAAAAAAAAUAUGACGAAACAGUGAAGCCAGCCAUGGGGGGCUUUGGGCUGCCCAACGGCCUUCCCCUCCCUCCUCUUCCUUGCCUUCUCCUCUCUCUCUAUCUCUCUCUCUCUCUUCUCAAUUUUUCUUAUAGAGGACCAGAAAGCCCAGGAGGCCUUGGCAGCCUCCGUGGCCCUCCGAUGGCCAUUGCAGGCAUCUCCACUGCCCUUUCACUCCUUUCCUCCCUCCCCCCUCUCUUUCUCUCUCUUUUCCUCCUCGGUUCAUCCUCCGUUUCCAUGUCGGUUGGGGUCCGAUAUAGUCCGGUAUGAGGGCAUACCAACUUGUACCACCGAUCGAUCAGCACGAUGCCCGAUUUCGAGUCAGCAAUCCUUGUUUGAGAGUGUUGAUAAGUUUUGAUGGAGUUGCAAAAGAAAUGUUUUUUUUAUUAUAAAUAAUUAGUGUAAUGACAUUUUCAUGAUUAGUUACACAUUGCACGUAUCAUUAAUUAAUGCUUUCAUAGUCAUGGAUAUGAGUAAUUAUAGUAUCAAAUACAAACUCAUAAAUAUGGGUGUGGUACAAUCAUAAACCUGAAAAAUAUGUAAAAUUUUAUAUGCAACUUUUUCACAUAAUCAUUCAAAUAUAAUGAUUUUGAAAUACCAAAACAAUUAUAGAACAAAAUAAAAUUGUGGUAGUAACUAAAACAACACUUUAAAUUUUCUCCAAAGGAAAACUCCCACAUACUCCAACAAAUAAAUUAGCAAAAAAGGCAAAAAUAUAGAUAAUAGCAAAGCAACUAAUAGAGCUUAGUGACAAUCCAUGGAACUCUUCCCUAAUAGCCAGAACAGAAUCUAAAUCUUAAAUUCCAGCUCUGCAUCAAAUCCAUGUGAUCAAGAUGAUAGAUGCAGACAUACAUAUAUCAGCAAUACUCCAUUUGCAUCCACGUCCAAUAGAUCAAAUAGAUUCAAUGCCCAACCCAAUUCAUCCCACAAAGAAAAUAGACAAAUAAGAUAAAAGCGAAUACCAGAAAAGAGUCUUUUGUAUAUUCUUUUCCCAGAAAUAAAUUGUGAGCACCGCAAAUAAAUUUGUGGGCCAAAAAUUUACUCAAGUAGACCACCAAAUGAAAAGGUGAUCACUAUCGUGUUUGUCCAUAUUACUCAGUCCCAUAAAUUAAUAAUGAGUGCAUGUAUCAUAUACCAGGUCACAUCACUUGCUCAUUGUAGAGAUCCUUUCUCUGCUGUUGUUGUUCUGCUUUACAGACAGUACGUUUUCUCUCAACCAUCAUCUCAUCUGUUGCUUUGCUUUUGCUUCAAGGGAGAUGCAAUUUCUAGCUAGCCCUCUCACCACCACUUACCCCAAAAUAACAUGGUAUCACAAGCUUAUAAUGUACUCUAUGCAUGCCUUACUAAAAAUAAAGAAAGAAAUUUGGAAAUGUAAAUAUGUACGGAUAUUUACAUAUCAUAGUGCUUGCUGGCUAUGUGGAUUUUGAAGAGGUAGAACUGUAGAAGCCUUCCCAUAACUAUAGUAGCCUUUUUAUAUUCCACUUCCUUAAAUAUUCUUUUUUGUCAUCAAUAUCAAGAGUCUAUUUAUUACUCCAAAUAAAUAUUUAGAGUAAUAAAAAGAUAUCUCUUCAAAAAUCCAUGUGGCAUAAGAGACCAAGGUAUUUGGCAUUUCUUAAUUUUCCUGAAACACUUACAUGCUGACUAAUAGAUGGCUUUACCUUAAGGAUUUUUUGUUGAAUAGAUGGCAGGCUUUUAAAAAUUUUUAGAAGGCUUUCAAUCAAGGUUUAUUUAUCGCUCUAAAUAGACAUCUCUUCAAUCUACAUGGCACAGAACACGAAUGUAUUUGGAGCUUUUUAAUUUCCUGAAAUACUCACUUGUGGAAUUUUCUAAGAAAAGAUUAAUAGGCAACUUUGUCUUAAGAAUUUUUGCUCAAUAGAUGGAAGGCUUUUACUACAAACACUUGGCAAUGUUUGCUAAUGUACACUUGGCAAUGCUAUAUGGAAUCCCUACUGAAAAGACCAAUUUUUAUAUUAUAUAUAUAGAUUAUCAUGGCAUAAUGAGAGUGUUAACAAUCAUUUCAGAGACCGAUGUUUUAACAGAACAAAAUAAUUAACACUCUAAAACUUAUUAAGCUAUAAUUACAUUUUAAUCCAUAAAACCAAUCCUAAAUUAUCAGGUAAGAUUUUUUCCAUCUUCUGCCAGUAUUGAUUAAGGUUGAUUAAUGUGUAUCCUAGAUAUGUGAGCGAUCAAAGCAAAGGACAUGUAAAAUUUCUUAUUGCUUGGUAACAUAUAGCUAUUCAUAAAUGUCACAUACUUGCCCUGUGAUGUUAUAACAAUCUGAUUGCCGAAAUCACAGAUAUCUCUUCAAUCUAUGCAGCAUAGAAGAUGAAGGUUUUUGGAGCUUCUUAAUUUUCUUGAAACAGUCACAUGUGGAAUUUGAUUUUAUUCCCGUAUCUCUCUCAGUUAUUUCAAUCAAAAUUCUAUUUAUUACUCUAAAUAUGUAUCUCUUCAAUCUAUGCAGCAUAGGAGAUGAAGGAAACUGAAAUUUUCUAAAAAAAGAUCAAUAGAUGGCUUUAUUGUAAGGAUUUCUUGCUGAAUAGAUGCAGGCUUUCACUAUGUACACUUGGCAAUUUUUGCUAUGUACACUUGGCAACCUUAUAUGCAACCCCUAUGUACACUUGGCAACGUUAUAUGCAAACUCUGCUGAAAAGACCAACUUUUUGUAUUAUAGCUGAACCUAAAUUAUAUUGGUAGCCUCAAAGUCAUAAGGCAACCACAUAUCAGUCUUCAAAAGACCGUUUGACCUAACCAAACAGGGUAAUCAUUUGAGUCAAGAAAAGUCAAGCGAAGUGAUUCAUUUACGUCCAUAUAAUGCAAAUUUUUUCACUUUUUUGUUAAAAAGAACUCACAUGAUCAAUAUUUAUAUGCUAAACUUGUGGCCUCAAUUGGUCGAGUUGGAUAAUGAAGGACAACAUGGCUAGAAAAUACAGGUUGGUAACACUGGCAAGAAGAUAAAGUGACUUUCAAGUUACAUGCAUUUACAUGCAUGCAUGUAUUCAUCAAUUGUUAGGGUCUAAUGGGAGUGCUAGAAUCUGGUUUUGAUGUUAAAUAUUUUUACUCCAUUUUGUUGAAAAUUUAGGUUAAUAUCCUAUGUUGGGCCAAUGAAUGGAAUUGAUUGAGUAAUUUUCACAUCAAACAGGUCAGAUGAGAUUGUUUGAAUAUAUAACCACUAGAAGGAUGAGAUGAUUGAUGUUUAUAAAUUGAAAUGCACCAGUACUACUUGAUGGCAAUCAGCAAGGUUCACAGUACCGAGCAUAUACCAUACUGUACCAGUACUGAACCAAGACUAGGUAUAGAGGGCAUAUGGAGUUCCGGUACACCAAACCAACCACCAUACCAGACGUGCCGGCAUUGUACCAGCAUGGCACUUGUAUGAGGUCCAAUACUGAGAUGGCAAACAUUGGAGUCAAGGUAGCUUUUCAUCAAGCUUCUAAAGAAACAUGUACUGGAAAGCAGCUACUGAGUUAACUGCUUUUGAUAUUUUUAAGAAUUGAUUAUUCCACCUUUCUCUUCGAGAAUGUCUCUCUAUCUUGCUAUGCAUUUUGAGAUACUGGAACUUGGGAAGUGCAUCAAUCAAUUCACACAUGGAACAUGAAAGUUACAAACAAAAAUUAGCUUCCAAAGAAAGAAUUGAUGGAUGAAGGGCACUAAUAUAAAGAUGCAGCAAAUCAGAACUGAAACCAAAAAAAAGCUUGUUAAAUUCAAUAAAAUAUAAAAACUAUAUGCAUAUAAUGAUAUUGUAUAUACAUAUGUCUAUAUGUACAUAAGAAAGUGGACAAACAUUAAAAUAGAAGAUCACAAUGAUAAUAGCCGCAAACUUCCAAGGCCCAUUAUCUUUAAGUGAAUCAAAUAUUAUAUACAGACAUAUAAAAAAUAUCUAUAGGAAUAUAGGAUAAUAUAUGUACAUUAUUUAUAUAUGAAAGUGCACAAGAUCAAAAUAGAAGUUCACAAUGAUAAUAACUGCAAACUUCUAAGGCAUGUUACCUUUCAAUGACAUCAAAAACUGAAUAACUACUGUGAAUCCCCAAAGAGUCCAAAUGAAGAAUAAUAGGACCAGAUUCAUCUUCUUUUGCUGGUAUACAAAUAAUCACCAAACUCCAGUGCCAACUGAUUACAUGAAAACCAAGAAGUUUACCAAAGAAGUCAGCUGAAAUAUCAACAAUGAUAUUUCUGUCAGAGAGGAAACCAGGUACAGUUCUAAUCAAUUGUCAGGCCAUGUCUGUAGAAUUAAUUAAUACAAAAAAAAGGUUCCUACAAAGGAAACAUCACAUUAGUACAGAAAUAACAAAGUAGGAAAGUAGAAAUGAAAACUUGCAUGUGAUCAAUCUUCAAUGUCAUAUCUGAAGCAACGAGAGGAAAACCAACAAAAAGUUAGAUAUGUUUUUUGAAUUUCAGAUAAAUAGAAGUGGCUUUAUGCCAGGAUAAUCAAUUAGAAAACUUCUAAUUGGGUAACUGAUGGAAUACUUCAAAGCAAAGGGGAAGGUUAAUGAGAGACAAUCAACAAAGCUUAUCUAAUUAAUAAUGAGGAUGAAAGGCAUAUAGAAUGGGUGACUGGGUAUAAUCACAAUGUCAAAGACGUGCACAUGAGACAUUUGGCUAGAAACUUCUUAUGGAGAAAACAAAAGUAUGGUAACCGGCAAUGAGCCAUCAGGGUCAACUUUGUCUGAUUUGCCAUACUUAUGUUAUAUUAGUUAUUUAUGCAUUAACUUUUCACAUUCUCAAGAGAGACCAUACUGCUUGUAGUUGACAAAAGGCUCAUGAUGAGAUUAAAUAAAGGGUGACAUUGAAAUGCAGCCACAGAAUAAUAUUAAGAGAAUCAUAGGUGGGUGCUCAAAAGGCAGCAAAAACUGGGGACACCAAAGAGCAAGAAUGUGAACUGUGAAGAAGGCUCAACAGAUAAGGCAAGGAUUGGUUCAGAAAUUUGGAUCAGGAUAAACUCAUAUUGUAAGUAUCUUGGUAAAAUGGAGUUUGAUAAUAUGAAUACACUGAAUACGCAGCAGUCAAAUUGGCUUUAGUUUUAAAAUUUCCCAGGCAUAGGCACAGUAAAAUGGAGCCUGACUGUUUCAGGAAAAUGAGAAUGCUUUUUCUCAGCAUCAUUCUGCAUAUGUACGAUGUGACACGAUGCUGACAUACGAUUGCAUAAAUUACAAGUUUAUAUAGGUUCAUCAAUUAGAACUCCAAUUAAGCCUAAAACUCAAGCAUAAUGUGCCACUGAUUUAGCCUAAGUGGAGAAUUUCCAUUCAGGAAUUGAGAGAAACCAAGAAGCUUCACAUCUGUUACACGCACAAUAAGCACAGGCAGAGCAACAGCAUGUUUGGUGCAUUGCAUGAAUGAAAGAUGAGAUGAACAAGCAUCUUAUUUUGCAAGGUGGAGUCUAGAAUUUAAGAGACCUUUCAAGAGAAGCUACAUAAUUUAUAUGGAUAGAGUUAUAUGCCGAAGGCGACUUGGCAAAAUUGAACUUUCUGCUAUGGGCAUCACUUGUGUUAAGAAAAUAGAUUGGAAAAUAGGCUCGCAGUGAAGCAUGCCAUCUUCACCACAACCUAAGUUAGAUUUUACUCCUGCAUAUAGGAAGGAGUUAUAAUAUUAUGGCAGCUCUAAUGGGCAAACACCUCGUCCCGCACAAAAGAAGUUAUCCUGAACUCUAAGGAAAUGUCAUUGAAAUUAGAUUAUCUUUUACUGAAAUCACUAUCUACCUUUAGUCAUGGCAUUGAAUUUCUAUUUUUUUUAUAAAAAAAAAUCAAGUUUUCACAGUGAUUGACGGGGAUAAAAAAAAUAUCAUAAAUAGGAAGGAAACCAAAUACCAAUAAACUCUAGCCAACUCCAUCUGGUAUUGUCUUCUUUAUCAUAUUGCAAUUGUUGGUUAUGUUUUGUGUUGUGAUGCCAUCAAUUGGGCAAAUACUUAAAAGCUCAGAAAACUUAGGAGAAACACCCUUUGAACUCUUCAUGAAGCCUCAUGACAAUCUUUCUAAAUCUUCACACUCAUCUAUUCUCAUAUGUCUGGCCUUAGAUUUAAAAAAAUGAAAAAAUCCAGCAUGUUCUAAAAUAUGAAUUUCUACAAAAAUAGAAAAAGAUGUGCCACUAAUCAUACAUAUACAGAUAAAAGGGAACUUACUCUCCAUGUAUCGGCAAGAAGACAUAAGCCUUUUGAAAUAUAUUUACACCUUUCCACCACCUCCUCAAUUUUACAAAAUAUGCAUUCCUAUCUCCCUACCAAUUACAAAAAUAUAAAAUUAGAAAUAUACAUGAUUAAAUUUGCUUUAAUUAUUUGAUAAUAUUGAAACAGAAAAUGUAAGGCUAGGAGUAAUGGGUUACAUAAACUAAGACAAGGACAGCUACUGAAAACUAAAGAAAAAAAAGGACCAAGGCACCAAAUUCGAAGUGGCACACAUUUAAAACUAUGAAGAAUUUCUAAAUCAGACAAACAACUUAUGAAUCUUUAGGCUUCAGAAUCUAGCUAUAGGAUUAUUACUGCAAAUGUUGGAAAAAAAUCAACGUUUUAAUCUUCCUCAUGAACAGAAACACCUUCCUAACAUGGUUAGGAGUAAUAAUUUGCAUUAAUGAAUCUAAGGACAGCUACAGAAAACUAAAGCAAAAAAGACUGAGGCACCAAAUUCCAUUUGAUACAGGUUUGAAACUUUGAAGAACUAAAUCAGACAAAAAGCAAUUUGUGAUUGUUUAAACUGUGGAAUCAAGCUAUAGGAUUAUUACCAAAAAUAUGAAAAGAAAGAAUGUUUUAAUAUUAUUAAUGAAUACUGUCCUAGUGUAUCUACAAGGCAUGAGUAUGAUUCUAUGCGAGGCAAAUGAUUUCUCCGAGAAUUAAUAAUUUUCUGUAAAAGAUUUCUUAUGAGAAUUCGGUCUUAAUAUUCUUAAUGCACCAUCAAGCUAAGCAUUAAAAGUUGCUUUAUAUGAAUCACUUGGUUAACAGCAAACUCUUAAGGAACAAAGGAAACCACCAAAGCAGAAGUACUGGCUGCCUCUUUCCAGAGGAUAUGGAAUGAAACAUGAAUUGUCUGAGGUUUUAAUAUAAUGGAUUUAGAAAAGAGGCUUUUUUUGGAAAAAGAGGCAGGUCCCCAACAAUUGUAGUCAAGAGGUGAGAACAGAAAUGCCUCAAAACUGAAUGGCAAAAAUAAAUUAAAUUAUAUUGAAACAUGAGCACUAAGACUUUCCUUUGAUUGACCAGUAAAAAGAGGUGUACUACAAGAAACAGUAGUGUAUAGUUUGAAUCUGACAACCCAAAAAAAGUCAAAUUUCUUUUUUGAGGAAAAAAAGCCCAAUUUCCUAGUCAAAUAUGAGUGGCACAUGCAUAUUUUAUAUUUUUUUAAAAAAAAAUUCAGAAGCUGAAAUCCUUGGACCUAAACUGUAAAAUAAUAAUUGAACUUCUGGUCAGAGUCGUGAUAAUAUUGACAUAGUAUGUCUAGCACCAAACCCUCAAAUUGUAUGCCGCUUCAAGAAAACAACCAAUGUGCCUUGCUAUCAGGAUGUUUACAUCCAACUGUCUGAUCUCAAACCUUUCCCUGACUAAUGGGUAUAAGAACCCAUGGGCCUUCACAGUUUUAUUCAGAUCUUCCAUCAGGCAAUCACGUGACAUAUCAAUAUAUAUACAUCAUACUUCCUACUACUGCAUUCCUUUGGCUAAAAUGCAACAGAUUCAUUAUUGCCUCAAUGUAUUGAUUGAAGAGGGAAAAAAUGUUUACCUUGCACGAAAGAGCCUCCUCAAGUUUCUUAUAAAAGUAUGUGUUGAAAAAAUAGUAUUCUCCUCCUGGUCUACCUACCGGCAAUACCAACCUUUGGAGGUACCUACAAAACAAGGCAUUAGUAAAACAGAAAUAUGUCUGUGUAUGCACACAUGCUUGUCCAUGUGCAAAACCUACAGUACAGUUCCAUGCAUAAAUAUAUCCAUGGCAGAGGUAAGAUAAUGAAAGAACUUACUAAAGUAGGCAUCAAGUAAAAGUUAAGUAAUGACUUUAUAAAAUCUAUAUAUUCUUCAUUAUUUUUAAAAUAGUUAAAGUAUACUGAAUUUCAAUUAAUUUUAACUAUUUCGAUCAUUAAAAUAUUUUUUAGUAUUUUAUAAAUGGUGAGUUGUUGCUAAUUUGUUGAGGAAAGAAUUCAUAAAGGCAUCUAGAUUUAUUCCAAGAACUGAUGUCAACAUGGGAUCAUGCAGCAUGAUAAUAUGAAUCUUUUUUGGUCACCCUCAUGAAUUAAGAGUGACUAAAUUAUCUUCACUAGAUGACUCUGCCACUUGAGCAUGUGCCCUAAAGCCUUAUAGAUUAAUCUGCAACUUGUUUAAUUCAAAAGUGGAUGUACAUUUGGUCCCUAUGUUCUACUUUCAAAUUAAAUUAAAUAAGUCGCAGGAUUAAUGUAACAGCCUUUGUGGCACACGCUCAAAUGGUAGAAGUCAAUUCUAGUGAAGAUGGUUCAAUCACUCUGAAUUGAGAAGGGUGACCAAAAAAGAUCCGUAUUAUCAUGCUGCAUAAUCCAUGUUGACCUCAAUUUUUAUGGAAUAAAUCCUGAUGCCUUUGUGAAAUUCUUGUCGCAAUAAAUGAACAACUCAUCAUUUCUAAAUUACCAGAAAAUAUAUUAUUGAUCUAAAGAUCUAUAAUUAAUUUAAAUUCAAUUUUGUUUAAUCUUCUUAAAAUAAUCAUUUAUAGACUAAAGAAUGAUAAUUACAUCAAAAUCAAAUGGGAGAAUAGCAUUAUGAAAAUGAUGAUCCAAUAUUCCAACUUGACCGAGUUAAGAUCUUAAACAAAGAAACAUUUACAACGCGACUUGCCAUUUUUCUUUUUCUUUUUUUGACUUUUCAAUUCAAGCGACUCACGAAAGAUUUGGCAAGUUUCAGCUGAGUUUUGUUCAUUUUUAAUGAGUUUUUUGAGUGUAUACUCUCUUAAAUAUGCAAAAUUGCAUAAAUAUUGUUGCAAAGUUUCUAUUUGCAUAUAUACCCUUAGAAAUAAUUAAUUUCGCAUGUCUAUCCCUCAAGGGUUUUUUAGUCAUUUGAAUUUUAAACUGCUUAUUUCUUAAUAGUGUUAGAUGGCAUAGGUACAUAUGUAAAAAAGAAAGAAAACGAAGGAUAUACAUGCAAAACAAGUGUUUUAUGAGGGUAUAUAUGUAAAUAGCAACUUUGAAUGGGUAUUCAUGCAAUUUCAUAUAUUUAGGAGGCUAUACGUGCAAAAAAAACCAUGUUCCAGCAAUGUGGCUCCAGUUUCUGCAACAAAUGGUUUUUUUUCUUUUUUAUCCUUCUUUACUUUUAGCAAAAUGAGAAAAUAUUAUUUCAUAAGAAAAAAACAUUAUCAAAAACUUGUUAUGUAAAAAAAAAUACUAUAAUGAUAUGCAAUAUGAAGAUUUCCAAAAAUUUUUUGAUUUAUGACAUCUCUUGAUGUAUGGUGGCCAUUAUUUUAGCUCUAAGGUUUGAAUGUAGAAAAUAGGACAGGAGAUAAGCAUGUUCCACUUCAUCAUACUUUUAGUGAAACUGUACAAGUUGGUUUAGUUCAACCAAAAAUUUUGAAAGUGCUAACUAAAUAAUACUUACUGAAUGUAAAAGUUCAUUAUGGGUGAUGAUAAAUACGAUUCAGGCUCGAGACAUUUUAAGUCUGCAUAAGCAAUCUCAACAGACUCAGGAUCAUCCCUGUUCAAAAAGUACAGGACAAUAGUUUUAAAUAGUUAGAAUCUGGAGCUGCCAUUGAGACCAUUAAUCAGAAACAAUUCCAAUUCUAGAGAAGAUGUACCUUGAAGGAUAAUAGAUUAUUGCCUCCUUCCUAGAGAAACGACAACAUUCAUUAAUGUAACAGCCAGAUCUCAAAAAGAUAACUGAACAUUAGAGAGAGCGAGAGAGAGAGAUACAAUAUGUAGACAGGAUGCUACUCAGAACAAAGGAUUCACCAUUUAUCAGAGUCAUCUAUUUGUAUUGGCUGUACAGGUUGAAUUUCUUCAUCCAAGAGGACCACCUCCUGAACCUGUCUUACAAUGUCAAAAUGAUACAAUCAAACUAUAAGUAACUAUAAUUCUAGACAUAGCAAAAGCUGAACUAUUAAUGGCCAACAUACAGCUAAGUCAAUCCACAGAUGUAAAUGGACCAAUACUACUUUUGUCCAAGUUAAACUAUCGAUAAAACCUGUAUCGACUAAGCUAGAAGCCUAAAACAAUCGCCAUUAUAUGCUAAUAAUUCAUUCAUUCAGCGAAAAGAAAAGAAAAGAAAAACAGAGGAAAUCUAUCAGCUAUACUUGAUUUAUUGCCCGAAUAUUGCCUCAAAGCCUGUUUUAGUGUUUAGUCUUCAUAUGCAUUUUUCCUUCCAAAAGAGAUGGAGUAGCACCACUGAUAGAAUCAUAAGUCUGCACUACAUAGACAUCCAUGAAUAUACACUGAUGGGACAAAAUUUAGAGUGGAUAAUUUAGAGGUCCAUUCACAAACACAAUAUCAUUUGAGGAACAGAUGCAACGAUCUGGUGAAGCUACCUUGAUGGCAAAGUCAUAAGUUGUAGAAACACAUACACUUUAACAAAAGUUGGAUUUCCCAGCCCCAUGACCACUUCUUGCCAGAAGCAAUCGCAUUACGAUGCAAAGAAAGUGAUAAGAAAAUUGUGCUUGCAAUUGAUAAAUGUGCUACUCCUUUUGAUUGUGACAUUCUUCAUAUGUUCUGUACCUUAGUAGGACUCUGAUGAGUGCAACUCUAUGGAAAGGAGAUUGCAUUUCCAAUCCACAAUAAGAAAUAGCUCCUUGGUAAUUGGUCAUUGGAGUUGGAGGCGAGUGCUUUAUAAUAGUGAUAUGCAGGUUACAUGGAAAUAAAACUCAAAUAACUAUGCAAAUAAAAAGUUCAACGGUGCUUGAUACAUUUGAACAUGGUUAUGUUUAGUUGCAACCUGUGAUAUUGUGAUAUGAUAUGUGUAGGUCCAACCCCUUAAUGUACAUGUUAGACAUUACUGUGAUAGCCAAAUUGGAGUGUAGAGGAAAACAAAGACUAGAUAGCAAGUGGGUUUGUUAGACUUAGGAAAGGUGAUAGUUAUAGUAAUUAUACAUACAUAAACAAGAAGUUCAGCAGUGCUUUAUGCAUUUGAACAUAGAGAUAUUUGGUUGUGACCGGUGAUACUGUGAUAUGGUAUGUGUAGGUUGAACCCCUCAAAUGUACAUGUUAAACAUUACUGUGAUCCCCAAAAAAGGUUAUAGGAAGGGUGAUAGUUAUCGUAAUUAUACAUACAUAAACAAAAAGUUCAGCAGAACUUUGUGCAUUUGAACAUGGACAUAAUUAGUCAUGACUUGUGAUACUGUGAUAUGGUAUGUGCAGGUCCAACCCCUCAAAUGUACAUGCUAAACAUUACUGCAAUCCGCAAACUAGAUUGCAGGGGAGAACAAAGACUAGACAGCAAGUGUAUUGGUCAGAAAGUAAGGUUUAUGAAAGGCAUAUGGGAACUAAUAUACCUGAAAAAAAUUACUGACUUCAAACUUCAGAGAUAUCUUCAAAAAAUAAGUUGAAAAAAAAAAAUAAGUAUUGACUAGAUCACGAGCUUAAAAAAUCAAAUAAAGUCGCUUAGAGUGUCAGUUUUUGAUAGUGCUCCAUACAUUGCCAUUAGUAUGUAUAGCGGCUAUCCAAUAAAGUUGUCAACUGAUCAUUAUCAAUCAUGAGUACCUGGACGGUAUCACACACAUCUCGAUAAAUGAUAGGUCACAGGCCCAAAACCAACCAUGAGACUUGGCAUAUAUGUGAAGUGGCAAGACAACAUUUGUACCAGUGUCAUAAAAAAAUGUACAUCAAAACACAGCAAAUAGUGAUAUAAUCACGUCAACAUAGAACCUUGCAGGGUUCGGAUAUUGCAGGAGACAAUAAAAAUCUAUAGAUAUAGCUACAGCAUGAAAAUAAUCAAAUAGAGUUCAAAUAUGUUCAAUUUAAGUAUGAAAGAAUUCAGGCCAUAGGGAAAUAAAUUCUUUUUUUUCGAGUAAAAGAUAUAGAGAUCAAUAUAUUCCAGAAGCAAGGCAAAAAGAAAAAUGCAUCUCACCACAACCAUAACAGAACAAUGUCUGUAAAACACCUUUGUUAAUAUUAUAAAUAUAAAUUCUGGCAAUGAAUAAUAUAAAUAAUUUGACACACAAUAACUGCAUGAACAACAAUAUUGAAAUAGAAUGAACCACUGCUUAAAACAAUGAUAACCACCUUUUUUGUCUUCAAGUUCAAUGAAUCUCUAGCUUCAGAAAUUCUCCUCCUACAAAGGGUAUCAGACAACACAUCAGAAAAGUAUCACAAUAAGACAUGAAUGGACACUAAAUGGAUAUUCAACAGCAUACACACACACACACACACACACAUACAUACAUGACAACAACAUUUUGUCAACUAUGUUCAUGCAACAUAUAACCUCAAGAGUUAAUAAAUAAAUAAAUAAAUAUCAACUAAAUCUGACCUUGAUUUAUAUAAAUAUGAAGGUUCAAAAUACCAAAGAUCAAUGCAUAUUGAAAAGAGUGGGUGUAGAGGUGCACUAUUGAGGACCAUGCAUAUCCAGUGGGACAGUAAAUAGGUCCCUCCUUGGCAGCAUAUUCAAGAAUUAUCCUGAACAAACACCAAUCGCUCUAAUUAUUUUUGAAUUUAUAUGAAUUUUGCUUCGUAUUCUGGUGAUCAAACCAAAACCCCAAAAUUUGUUAAUCUUGAUCUUGGAUUCAUGCUCUAACAUAUGAACCUGAUGAUCAGAUAAGGUUCGUACUCAAUUUUACAAAGCUUCCGCUUAAUUUCAUUUGAUCAGUCAUGAGUUGCUGGUCGACUUACUGAUGAAUUUUUAAUAAAAAAAGGUACAUGGAAGAAAACUAUCUAGUUAGAACGAAUUUCUAGCUCGCAAUAUGAUAGUAAAUUUGUCGAUUUGAAGUGAAGCCCCUGUCAUAGCUUGUCCCCUCUUUCUUCCUCUCGUUUCCACCUACAAGUGGUGGAAAACAAAAGAGAAUCACCCUCUAAACCACUUCCCAAUGGUAUACAAACAUAUUACAGGAUUGGGAGUGAACCAAGAUUGGCUUAUGGUGAAAUAACCAUGAUCAGCCCUCAAACAAUUCGAUCCAUCCUUGAGGGUGGUUAGGGUGGUUUCAAGUCUUUUAACUAUUUGUCCCUAAAAUAGUCUUGAUUUGUGUAUCGAUCCCUCCAUUUGUCAUAUUCACACAUCUCAAAUUCAUCUCUACCUUUCCCAACAAAAGUUUGAUCACCUCUAUGUUCGAUGAGCAUCAAAUUUAGACAUGCAACAUUGUUAUAGUUCUCAACAAGACAUUUUGUUCCAUGUUAACCUCCCUUCUGUAUCAGAUUAAUAAUGAGUAGAAGGGCUUAUCAUGGUCAGAAGAAUUGUAUACUCAUAAAGAAGAUCCUUAACAAGAUGUGAAAAUUUAUAACUGCUCAAACUAUCACCAUGAUCCAAAAAGCCAUGGUCAUCAUAUUGCCUUGAUAAUCGUAUAUUCACUAAAUAAAAGAAAAUAAAUAUAAACAAAAGCAUGAUCAACAUGUUUUAUACAUCUAUCUAAUGUUAGACUUGUAAUUCCAAUCAAGGGUUAUUUCUUAAAACCUCUACAGCCUAUAAAUUUUUUUAUAUGUUUCCUCCUAUUUUCAGCGGAAACUUUUGCCCCUUCAUAGCUGGGUCGCUACUCAUUGUUCACCCUCUAGUAAAUCUCAAUCAAUUUGUCAUUACUUUAUCCUCAAUCAGGGACUCAAAAGUUUCCUCUAACACCUAUUUCUGAGCAUUUCUUGAGUUUAUACAAGCCAUCACAGCAACACGAAAACAGAUCAGUUAAUGAGAGAACAGCAGAUAAUGGUCCACCCAAAAUUCAAAACUUUUUUAAAAGGUUCUAAACUGUAUGAACUAUAAACAAUGUUAAGGAUUUCAGAGAAGGAAGUUUCAUGCAAAAUGAAAUGUCAUAAAAACAUAACGUGACAGAUAAUCUGGUUACAUCCUAAUGGACAUAGAAAAACAUAAGCUCUUUCUUAGAAGGCCAAACCUUAAAUACGACAAAGAUAACCGAUCAUGACCUAACGCAAUCAAAAAAAAAAAAAACUGAUCAUGACCUAAGAAGCAAUGAUAAAAUUAACCAUGAAUAAUCAGACCCUUUCCCCUUCUGAGGUAUGCCACCUACCGUAUAAGUUCCUUGUUAAAUUUAAAGCUACUAUCUUGCAAGCAAUUCCGCUUUUGUGGGAACAGAGAUCUCAAAAUUUCAUAUAAUCAUCUGAAACUCAAGUAAAUUAAUUGAGAAUGUUGCUUCUGGUCCUUCGAAAUUGCAAAUUUUCUAGUUUUACGGAAGGUGAGGCUUUAACAGAAUAGCAUGUGCAAAAGUUUCCACUUUUGCUAGAUCAACAUAAAGAAAAAAACAAAGAAGUAUGAAAUUAGUAAAAUCUAAUUCAUACAGCAUUACCAACGAGUGAAAAAGAGCAAUAAAUCCUAAUCAAUGUACACAUCUUGUUUCAACACUUAGGUAAGACAACAUAGGGAACAAGCUUAUCCAAAAGGACAACAUUCAGUUCACCCACAUAUUUGAAGAUAACAAUUAUGUAGAAAAGGCUAGAGAUCUGAAUAUAUUUGAUUAUUGUAUAAGACAAGAUUUGCAGACUUGGUACUGGAACCCAUGCCGGCCGGCCGACGGUACGGAUAUGUACCGGACCGGACCAGCAUGAACCGACACAGUGGAAAAAAAGCGAAUUGGGAGGAGGGAAAAAGAGAAAGAGGGGAGGGGGAGGGAAGGGGAGGAAGAAAGGGGGAGGGAGGGAGAGUGCGGCUGGAGGAGACGCCGCCAAUGGCCACAGGCGGGCCACUGGCACGCUUGGAGGGCUUCCAAGGCUCCACUUCAUCUACCGAUCGUCGAUCGAGAGAGAGAGAGAGAGAGAGAUGGAGAGAGAGGGGGGAGGGAAAGAAAAGGAGGGUGGGAAAGCCGCCGAAGAGGCCUUCAGCUGGCUGUCGGAUAGUGCAAUCGCAGCCUCCGACGCUGCACGCAUGAAACAGGGAUGAUCGUACCAUUUCACAUUUUUUUUUAAAAAAAAUGCGAUUAUAAUGAAGCCGGCAAAUCCAUUGCCCGCUUCACUGUUUCUUAGAUUUUUUUUUUUUAAUUCUCAAAUAAUAAAGCCGGCAAAUCCAUUGCCGGCUUUACUAUUCAUUUUCGUUUUCUACCAUCCAAUGGCCAUGGUGGCCACCCGACGCCCUCCAACAGCCCAUCCACUGAUCGCUCCUCCCUCCGAUAUGGUCGGUUCCCCCUCUCUCUCGCUCAAGUAAAUGUCCUAUUGGGCGAGCCAAGCUGCGAAGGCCUUCGUGGCCCUCAGUGGGCCACCAUUGGCCUCCGACGGCAUCGUAUCGUCUCUCGCUCCCCUCCUCUCUCUCUCUUCCUCUCUUUCCCUCUCUCUCCUCUGGUGUGCCAUUUUCCUCAGCCAAACCAUUCUAGUUUGCUGCCGGGACAGCUCAGAACGCCCUGACACGUCCGGUUCGGCAUUCCAUGGUACAAGAAAUCACAUAGAAUAAGUUUGUACAGCCGAUAAAAAAAAGCAUUAAUGAGAAAAUGAGAAAUAUUAAAUAACAGCUAGAAACCACAAACUCACUUUCUAGUAGAAGGGCUGGAAUAAUUUUCUCCCAAAUGAGCCGAAGAAGUGCUAAAAGAUUCAAAAGCCUGGAGAUCACCAUUAGGAGCUCUUUGUUCAUCUUUGUUGGCAAUGGUGGUAGAAGAUGGGAAAGGUGAUUCUCUGGUAGACAUUCUAGCUGGUUGUGAUGAUAUCUCUUUUGGCUGUCUUCUCUCAUGCAUUUGGCAUUCGCUUUCACUUGAACUUUUGCACUUGUUCAGAGUAAUAUCCCUCAAGUCCUUGUUAGACGUAGCAUCUGCCUGAAGAAAAGGAAGUGAAAAUGCCUUCACCAGCCAAGCUGGAAAUAUUCAUACUUUAAGCAAAGAUAAACUUUUACCUUGCUCUGUAACUUGUGGAGAAAUUGGAGUGCAGACGAGGGUUGUGAAUGUGAUACAGAUAUUUCAAGACUUUCAUUGGAUUCUUUAGUCUUACCUGAGAGUAAGAGAUCACAGCAAUUUGGUUUAUAAAGCAAAAGAUAUGAUCGAUAUCAAUAUUAUCAGGUGAAAGUUGAAAAAUAACAGUUUCCCUGUUCAGAAAACAUUAUCAAAGAAGAAACCUAUUGCCAAUAGUCAAGGCAGUGGUGUAUCUUUACCAGCUAUUUACGUUUUUCUAUAAAUAUGCAAUCAUACCUGCUAACACAAUACACUAGAGCUGAAAGUUUAUUUUGCCUUCUUUAGUUCACUUAUUUAGAAUUAUUUAUUUAGUUAUUUAAUACAUGGUCAUCUCCUCAUGUUUGAGUUUUUUGAGGUUGCCAUACAAAUUCUUCAGGACAUAUAGAAACUCAACACAUGUGCUGCAUCUAGGCAGCACUGUGUUCACCAGAAACGAUUAACCAAGUCCACAUAACAUGGAUUUGAAGUCAUAUGAUGACGAAGUCAGCAUUAAUUUGAUAAAGGACAAAAGCAACACUUGAGAGCAUGUGAAAAUGACAUGUACAAGAAAAUGGCAAUUCAGUCAAAAAGCAAACAACAUGACAAAUUGAAGAUACAUUGAUAAAUGCAACAAAAAAUGCAUUGUGUUUUGCAGGAAGUCAAUCCAAUAUAAAACACAUUAGCAAAUACAUAACAAGAUUUUCAUUAACACAACUUCUUUUUAGUCUAGAUAAUACAGAAAAGAGAGUUUCCUAAUAUCAGCCUUCACCCUUGGAUUGCAUUUUAAUGGCCAUGAAGACAGCGACUUGAAAGCACAUAGCAUCAGUCAUGAAGCAGGAAACACCACCAUCUUUUAGGUUUUUUCUUCCCCCUUCUCCCUGCUUCCUCCUCAUUUCAUCCCUUUUUUUAGUUAAACCAGAGAGGAAAUCAACUUUAAAAUAAGUUUGCUUCUGUUUUAAAGCAAUGACCAUGAAGCCUUGUCAAUUCAUAUAGCAAUACCAUUUCCUCAUUUAUUAUCCAAUAAUGUCCAGCCCAUUAAUACAAGUUCCCUUUGAAUCCUUUUCACAUAUUAAUCCAUAUCCCUUGAUACAAGAGGUUGUUUCUGGACAUCGACAUACAUAGGCUGCAAACAAAUUUAGUCAUUCA